UUCCCUGUGGCUCAGUUGGUAGAGCAUGGUGUUUGCAACGCCAGGGUUGUGGGUUCGAUUCCCACGGGGGACC
rfam:Salmo salar isolate Sally breed double haploid chromosome ssa10, whole genome shotgun sequence.